GUCUACGGCCACGCCACCCUGAACAUGCCCAAUAUCUGAUCUCGGAAGCUAAGCAGGGUCAGGCCUGGUUAGUACUUGGAUGGGAGACCACCUAGGAAGACCAGGUGCUGUAAGCA
rnacentral:rRNA from 1 species